rnacentral:rRNA from 1 species
UAAUACGUAGGGCGCGAGCGUUGUCCGGAAUUAUUGGGCGUAAAGAGCUCGUAGGUGGCUUGUCGCGUCUGCCGUGAAAGCCCGUGGCUUAACUACGGGUCUGCGGUGGAUACGGGCAGGCUAGAGGCUGGUAGGGGCAAGCGGAAUUCCUGGUGUAGCGGUGAAAUGCGCAGAUAUCAGGAGGAACACCGGUGGCGAAGGCGGCUUGCUGGGCCAGUUCUGACGCUGAGGAGCGAAAGCGUGGGGAGCGAACAGGA